CAGAUCGAAUUGUGCAGUCAAAGCCUUGUCAGGCCUUUAGACGCACCCUUGUCUUGAAUCACCUUCAUGACUGGCAUUUUGCUCAAAAGCCCUCGGCACUGGUCCUUAACAGCUUAUGACAUCACAAAGGACACUCCAGACAGAUGCCUACAUGGCAUCCUGCAGCAUUUUAAAAGAGAAUUAGUGGUUUUAAUUAUGGUCGUAGUAUGAAAGGGAACCAUGCAAGCUCCACAGGAGACCUUUGAUCGGGCUUUUUUUCUAGUACAAUGCCACGGAACUGUGACUAUGCCUGCAAUACGUAUAAAAGAUGCCUGAAACCGACAUUGACGUAUAAAGGAGCCUCAGAAGUCUCCUCUUACACAGCGGCAGCAGGAGCCGGCUAAUUAUUAGGACUAGAUCAACAGGAGGACAAAUAGACGGAAGUAGAAAUAUGAAAGAGGCGAGCAAGGUAGUGACAAUAAUGGCUGGACUUUGAUUAGUGGACCAUGAAACCGAAGAAAUAAGAAAGUCUUCCUUAACCCCUCCUAAAAACAAAGAUCCAUGAUCUCUAAGAACAGUCCUCAGACCCAACUGAUAAGAGAAUUACAUUUCUGAGGUAAAGUAUUUGUGUCUGAACGUUCCACUUCGAUUGUCAGAUAACGAUUGUGAAUAUUUUUCUAGACACGUGGCUAGGGGUGAAUCCCUGAGAACAAUAAUAGUACAAUAAUAAUACAAGUGUAAAAUCAAAGAAGACCACUUUUGGAUUAUGUGCCUAUUGUACCUAACUGUUUAAUCAUCUUAGGAUAUCCAAAAUAACCGUAUGGCUACUGGACAUAAUUUUAUCAUACAUAUUUAUGGUGAUUAUUUAUAUUUUAUCAUACAGAUGCCAUUAUUCAUGGAGAAGUUUCUCUGUAGGGCGACCACCUUUUGGCCUUGCAGGGUCACCCACAUAUAUCAGCUGAUCUCUGGGAGUCCAAGCAGUAAACACUUUAAUAAUCUUAUCAUCAGAAAACCCUUCCAACCCUGGCUGCAUUGCAUCAAGGGAAUGUCCAAAGAUGACAAGGAAUAUUUAAAGGGGUUAUCCAGGAAUAAAAAACAGAGCUAAUAUGUUUUAAAAAAACAGCUCCCCGUCUGUCUCCAGGUUGGGUGUGGCUAUACAGCUCAGUUCCAUUGAAUUGAAUGAAGCAAAGUUGUAAUACGACACCCAACCGUGGAGCUGUUUUUGAAAGGAAUUAGCUCUGUUUUUCUAUUCCUGGAUAACCCCUUUAAUGAUCAUAACAUAACAUCUGGAACAAAUAUGAGAAUUUUUGAAAUUCAUCAAAACUGGAAUGAAGCUAAUUUAAAAUUUAAAAGAAAACACUUUCCAUGAAAAAUGUGCAGCAUUCUAAAGUUAAAGUGCAGGUUCCCCUUCACCAGGUUCUAAAGCAUCAUAAAAACAGGAAUGACGGGGGUCUGGCUGCUGAGGCCCUCGCAAUCCCUGGCGCAACAACCUUAUCAUCUGAUGGACGGACCAAACUCUGAUGAUGGGUGACCACAGCCAUCACGUCUCCUCCAUUCGUGUCUAUGGGAGAAGGAGGUGGCUAGGGGAUAUGAUAUCUAGGGGCGGAGUACACCUUUAAGUUAGGUCAAAGCCUUUAGGUCACAUGUCUGACAGAGGAACAGAGAUAACCCGCUAUCCGUUUCUAAGGACAAACAUUAGAAUUUUAAAGUAGCUCUGAAAAGCGAGAAGUUACAGUUAAAGAUAUAAAGAUAGUUUCAAAAACAGUUAAGAUCUAAAUGUUUAAAGUUACAAGACCUAUAUGGAUUUAUAUUGUUAAAUGGUGCUCAACAUGGAAUUAGAAUUUUAUGAUGCGAGCUCUACUGUGGCCCAGUCAUGUCUAUGACCUAUAGGGGAUCUUUGCCUUUUUUUUUCUUCUUUAUUUUAACAAAUCAUUAUAUCAAUACACAAUUAUACAACAAGAAUAGGAAAUGUAUUAUAUCCCCCUCACCCCCCCCCCCAAAAAAAAACAAAAAAGACAAUCCCUGCAUGUUUAGAAGGGUCCUCUGACAAUAAGUACGGUAGAUCACUAAGUGUUCCGGCAGAGACUUCCAGUGAUUAGCUGUUAACUGUGAAAAACUUGGCAGUAAAAAUGCCCCAAAACCUUCAAUAUCUGUAGCCAAACACCUGUUAUACAUAAAGCUGUUUCUUCUGACCCCCAUCAUACACAUGCAUGCUGCUGAUGGGUGAUGAACAUGAUACAUUAAAGACUUGUAGUACCCCCUACAUUUAUAUGGGUUAUACAGAGACAUUUUUAAUUUAGUACUGUCCCCAGACUGUACAAUAAAACAAUUAAAACUUUCCUCCAUUCCCUCGUAGCCUCUGUCCAUCUGCAGCCUGUUUCAGCUGACAGUCUACUUCCACAAGGCUUCAGACGUGAACCUACAGCGGUGGCACUGUCAGUCCCCCCACCUGCAGACAGUGUCACUGGCUACCGACCUGAAACUUUGUGCUCCGGUACCUGAAACUUUGAGGAAGCGGAGGAAGGCGAGUUAAAGGUUUUAUUGUUUUAUCACGCAGGCUAGGGACAAUACUAAGAUAAAGAAAAAAACAUCAGACAACCCCUUUCAAGUCAGCAAGUAUCACCAAAAUCUGCAGUUACAGCAGACUUGUUUGAAUCGUAGAGAGGCCUUUAACAUUAUAUGGAUAUUUUUAUUAUUAUUUUGUGGGAGAAAAUAUGCUGUCCCUGCAGCCACUGCCUGUGCAUCUCUAUGCAAAGACAAAAUACAGGAAGUGUGGGCAGACAAGCAGGGUUCUGUACACUGAGGACAAGCAGGGUUCUGUACACUGAGGACAAGCAGGGCUCUGUACACUGAGGACAAGCAGAGCUCUGUACACUGUGGACAAGCAGGGCUCUGUACACUGAGGACAAGCAGGGUUCUGUACACUGAGGACAAGCAGGGCUCUGUACACUGAGGACAAGCAGGGCUCUGUACACUGAGGACAAGCAGGGUUCUGUACACUGAGGACAAGCAGGGUUCUGUACACUGAGGACAAGCAGGGUUCUGUACACUGAGGACAAGCAGAGCUCUGUACACUGAGGACAAGCAGGGCUCUGUACACUGAGGACAAGCAGGGUUCUGUACACUGAGGACAAGCAGGGCUCUGUACACUGAGGACAAGCAGGGCUCUGUGCACUGAGGACAAGCGGGGCUCUGUACACUGAGGACAAGCGGGGCUCUGUACACUGAGGACAAGCGGGGCUCUAUGCACUAAGGACAAGCAGGGCACUGUAAACUGAGGACAAGCAGGGCUCUGUGCACUGAGGACAAGCAGGGCUCUGUGCACUGAGGACAAGCAGUGCUCUGUACACUGAGGACAAGCAGUGCUCUGUACACGGAGGGCAAGCAGGGUUCUGUACACUGAUGACAAGCAGGGCUCUGUACACUGAGGACAAGCAGGGCUCAGUACACUGAGGACAAGCAGGGCUCUGUACACUGAUGACAAGCAGGGCUCUGUACACUGAGGACAAGCAGGGCUCUGUGCAGUGAGGACAAGCAGGGUUCUGUACACUCAGGACCAGCAGGGCUCUGUACACUGAGGACAAGCAGGGAUCUGUACACUGAGGACCAGCAGGGAUCUGUACACUGAGGACAAGCAGGGCUCUGUACACUGAGGACAAGCAGAGCUCUGUACACUGAGGACAAGCAGGGCUCUGUACACUGAGGACAAGCAGGUCUCUGUACACUGAGGACAAGCAGGUCUCUGUACACUGAGGACAAGCAGGGCUCUGUGCACUGAGGACAAGCAGGGCUCUGUACACUGAGAACAAGCAGGGCUCUGUACACUGAGGACAAGCGGGGCUCUGUACACUGAGGACAAGCGGGGCUCUGUACACUGAGGACAAGCGGGGCUCUAUGCACUAAGGACAAGCAGGGCACUGUACACUGAGGACAAGCAGGGCUCUGUGCACUGAGGACAAGCAGGGCUCUGUGCACUGAGGACAAGCAGUGCUCUGUACACUGAGGACAAGCAGUGCUCUGUACACGGAGGGCAAGCAGGGUUCUGUACACUGAUGACAAGCAGGGCUCUGUACACUGAGGACAAGCAGGGCUCAGUACACUGAGGACAAGCAGGGCUCUGUACACUGAUGACAAGCAGGGCUCUGUACACUGAGGACAAGCAGGGCUCAGUACACUGAGGACAAGCAGGGCUCUGUGCAGCCUGUUGUGUGGGCCAGGAGCGUUUUAGUGUACAGAACCCUACUUGUCCUCAAUGUACAGAG